UGAACGCUGGCGGCAGGCCUAACACAUGCAAGUCGAGCGGAUGAAGGGAGCUUGCUCCUGGAUUCAGCGGCGGACGGGUGAGUAAUGCCUAGGAAUCUGCCUGGUAGUGGGGGAUAACGUCCGGAAACGGGCGCUAAUACCGCAUACGUCCUGAGGGAGAAAGUGGGGGAUCUUCGGACCUCACGCUAUCAGAUGAGCCUAGGUCGGAUUAGCUAGUUGGUGGGGUAAAGGCCUACCAAGGCGACGAUCCGUAACUGGUCUGAGAGGAUGAUCAGUCACACUGGAACUGAGACACGGUCCAGACUCCUACGGGAGGCAGCAGUGGGGAAUAUUGGACAAUGGGCGAAAGCCUGAUCCAGCCGUGCCGCGUGUGUGAAGAAGGUCUUCGGAUUGUAAAGCACUUUAAGUUGGGAGGAAGGGCAGUAAGUUAAUACCUUGCUGUUUUGACGUUACCAACAGAAUAAGCACCGGCUAACUUCGUC
rnacentral:rRNA from 1 species